rnacentral:lncRNA from 1 species
AUCCGUGCACGCCAGCCGAGGUUAAAGUUAUUUAUCAGAUAUGUAGAUGACAUCCUGGUCGUUUGGAAAGAUGAGCAGGACGUAGAUGGACUUACGAGCACCUUGACCCUCCUGUCUUAUGGCUUAAGAUAAAAGAUGGACCACAAGAGCAACCAUGAAGUACACUGUCUUGGCAUUUGCAUAAAAUCAGAAGAAGCCAGAGUGGUAACUACGGUAUAUAGGAAACCAUCUUACGUUCCUAUUAUUGUACCGAGAUGGUCUGACGACCCCGCAUCCUUUAAGAAGGCCGCAUUCCGAUCGUUUUUUAAGAGGGCAGAACUAUAUUCGACUGACAUCCAUGACUUAA